rnacentral:rRNA from 1 species
ACUGCUCAGUAACACGUGGACAAUCUGCCCUGAAGAAGAGAAUAAUCCCGGGAAACUGGGGGUAAUGCUCUAUAGUCCGGGAGGACUGGAAUGUUCUCCGGAUGAAAGAUCCGUCGCUUCAGGAUGAGUCUGCGGCCGAUUAGGUAGUUGUUGGGGUAAAAGCCCAACAAGCCCUGUAAUCGGUACGGGUUGUGGGAGCAAGAGCCCGGAGAUGGAUUCUGAGACACGAAUCCAGGCCCUACGGGGCGCAGCAGGCGCGAAAACUUUACAAUGCGGGCAACCGUGAUAAGGAAACCCCGAGUGCCAGCACAGGCUGGCUGUCCACCAGUGUAAAUAACUGGUGAAGAAAGGGCCGGGCAAGACCGGUGCCAGCCGCCGCGGUAAUACCGGCGGCUCGAGUGGUGGCCGCUUUUACUGGGCUUAAAGGGUCCGUAGCUUGAUCCAUGGGUCCCUUGAGAAAUCCAUCAGCUUAACUGCUGGGCGUUCAGGGGAAACUGUGGUUCUAGGGACCGGGAGAGGUAAGAGGUACUGCCGGGGUAGGAGUGAAAUCCUGUAAUCCCGGUGGGACGACCUAUAGCGAAGGCAUCUUACCAGAACGGCUCCGACAGUGAGGGACGAAAGCUGGGGGAGCAAACCGGAUUAGAUACCCGGGUAGUCCCAGCUGUAAACGAUGCGCGUUAGGUGUGUCAGUGACCACGUGUCACUGAUGUGCCGAAGGGAAACCGUGAAACGCGCCGCCUGGGGAGUACGGUCGCAAGGCUGAAACUUAAAGGAAUUGGCGGAGAGA